AACGAACGCUGGCGGCAGGCCUAACACAUGCAAGUCGAACGAGAUCCUUCGGGGUCUAGUGGCGCACGGGUGCGUAACGCGUGGGAAUCUGCCCUUAGGUUCGGAAUAACAGUUAGAAAUGACUGCUAAUACCGGAUGAUGACGUUAAGUCCAAAGAUUUAUCGCCUGAGGAUGAGCCCGCGUAGGAUUAGCUAGUUGGUGUGGUAAAGGCGCACCAAGGCGACGAUCCUUAGCUGGUCUGAGAGGAUGAUCAGCCACACUGGGACUGAGACACGGCCCAGAGACAGGGGGGCGGCAGGGGGGGGGAAGCUGGCAGUGGGGCAGAUGGCCUGGCGACGGAACGCGGCGUGGGUGAUGAAGGCUUGGGUGUUGAGCCUUUCUUCUCACGGGGAGGAUAACGACGAUACGGGGGGAAUACGCCCCUGCAGACACCGCGGCAGCGGCCGCUGUAAUAAUCGGCAGAGUACACGUCCGACC
rnacentral:rRNA from 1 species